rnacentral:lncRNA from 1 species
GGACACUGAAGAUGAAGGGAUUUGGUAUACUUUGAUAUUAAACCUUUAACAGUGCCUAUGCAUAUCCCAAGGUCUUUCAUGUUCUGCAUUUGUAGCCCAGAUUUUGGAUCGAUUUGUCCUUAUGGUGUUUUCCAUUGCUGUAACUGGGUUCAUGCAGAAGACAUGCUUUUCCUCCAAGUCUUCUGGAGUUGAACUCUCACUUCUGACUGAUUCAUUUAAAAAACUGCUGUCAGUGUGUUUCAAGCAGACAGCUGUUCUGUUUUGAUUUGAAUCAUUUACACCGCAUCAGCUUUGCUUCCAAUGUUUAAUUUCACAGCAGCUUCUCUAGCUCAGAGGCAGCUAAACUUGCUUUAGUAAUAUAAAUACCCGUAAUUAGUUUGACUAUAUUGGGUAAUCCCAUAAAUUUGACAGUCUGUGCAAUGAAGUGAAAACAAAAGCUGUCUGAAACCACUGCUGUGAGACUAUGCUAGAAUUGGUGAAUCGUUUACGUCUGAGGCCCAGUAAUAUUUGAAGAUAACACUUCCAGCUGAAGAGCUGGCUGACUAGUGUUCUAGUGCUAACCUUGUUUGUCAGGGAGUUGUGUUUUCAAUUAGCUGUGUUACUGACGCGUCUCAAGUAUGCAGUGGUCCCUAAAGAGAUUGGUCCUGUGUAGGACAGUUCACCAACAUACCUUUGGAAAAGCUGGGAAAGUUUGAAUCUUGCCCUUUUGUCUGGUGGUGGUGGUGGUUUUAAAUCUCUUAUUGAAAGCAAAAUUAUUUUGAUUAAUAAGAGACUGCUAGUGGUGGCUUACAAGGGAAUUUUUAGUCUGUAACUUGGAGGGUUUGGGAAAUCCAUGAAUGGCUUUAGGAAGUCUGUGAACACCUUCUUCCCACCUUAAAAUUUUAUGUGACUAGGUAUGUAUGUUUGUAUGAAUU